rnacentral:rRNA from 1 species
UACGUAGGGUGCGAGCGUUGCCCGGAUUUAUUGGGCGUAAAGCGCUCGCAGGUGGUUCGUCGCGUCGUGCGUGAAAGACCCCGGCUCAACUGGGGGGUGUCGUGCGAUACGGGCGGACUGGAGGCCAGUAGGGGGAUGCGGAAUUCCGGGUGUAGUGGUGGAAUGCGUAGAGAUCCGGAGGAACACCAGCGGCGAAGGCGGCAUCCUGGACUGGUCCUGACACUCAGGAGCGAAAGCGUGGGGAGCAAACAGG